UACGUAGGGCGCAAGCGUUGUCCGGAAUUAUUGGGCGUAAAGAGCUCGUAGGCGGCUUGUCGCGUCGAUUGUGAAAGCCCGGGGCUUAACUCCGGGGUCUGCAGUCGAUACGGGCAGGCGUAGAGUGUGGUAGGGGAGAUCGGAAUUCCUGGUGUAGCGGUGAAAUGCGCAGAUAUCAGGAGGAACACCGGUGGCGAAGGCGGAUCUCUGGGCCAUUACUGACGCUGAGGAGCGAAAGCGUGGGGAGCGAACAGG
rnacentral:rRNA from 1 species